rnacentral:rRNA from 2 species
UCCACACGACUCUCGGCAACGGAUAUCUCGGCUCUCGCAUCGAUGAAGAACGUAGCAAAAUGCGAUACCUGGUGUGAAUUGCAGAAUCCCGCGAACCAUCGAGUCUUUGAACGCAAGUUGCGCCCGAGGCCAUUCGGCCGAGGGCACGCCUGCCUGGGCGUCACG